UCUCCCCCUCUUUCUCUCUCUAAAAUUUCUCUCUCUUUUUCUCUCUAAAAUUUUUCUCUCCUACUCUCUCUCCUUCUCUCUCUAAUUGCAUUACGGAUUCUAGGAUAAAUUUGAGAUGAAAAUAAGAUGAUCUGAAAUCGCUCUGAAAGUCAUGCAGUAGGUUGGAUCCUAGCCCGAUCCUUAUUCAAAAUUUAUAACAUCGGAUCAUAGUUAAUCCAUAUUG
rnacentral:lncRNA from 1 species